AAGUCGUAACAAGGUUUCCGUAGGUGAACCUGCGGAAGGAUCAUUACCGAGACUGGGUCCCCCCGGGGGCCCGACCUCCCCACCCUCUGCUGUCGCGAACAACGUUGCUUCGGCGUGGCCCGUCACCCGUGACGGCCGGGAGCCCCCUCCCCCCCCCAGGGGGGCGGCCGGCCCCGGACAGCGUCCGCCGGAGGACCACAAACCAACUCUUGUAUGAAACCGUGUCGUCGGAGUACAAACGUACCAAUAAAUCAAAACUUUCAACAACGGAUCUCUUGGUUCUG
rnacentral:misc_RNA from 1 species